rnacentral:rRNA from 1 species
UACAGAGGGUGCAAGCGUUGUUCGGAAUUAUUGGGCGUAAAGGGCUCGUAGGCGGUUUGUCGCGUCGGGAGUGAAAUCCACUGGCUUAACUGGUGGCUUGCUUUCGAUACGGGCAGACUGGAGGUAUGCAGGGGAGAACGGAAUUCCUGGUGUAGCGGUGAAAUGCGCAGAUAUCAGGAGGAACACCGGUGGCGAAGGCGGCCAGCUGGCGCUGACCUGACGCUGAGGCGCGAAGGCAUGGGGAGCGAACGGG